GUGGGGAAUAUUGGACAAUGGGCGCAAGCCUGAUCCAGCCAUGCCGCGUGUGUGAAGAAGGCCUUUUGGUUGUAAAGCACUUUAAGCGAGGAGGAGGCUCCUUUAGUUAAUACCUAAAGAGAGUGGACGUUACUCGCAGAAUAAGCACCGGCUAACUCUGUGCCAGCAGCCGCGGUAAUACAGAGGGUGCGAGCGUUAAUCGGAUUUACUGGGCGUAAAGCGUGCGUAGGCGGCUUUUUAAGUCGGAUGUGAAAUCCAUGAGCGUAACUUAGGAAUUGCAUUCGAUACUGGAAAGCUAGAGUAUGGGAGAGGAUGGUAGAAUUCCAGGUGUAGCGGUGAAAUGCGUAGAGAUCUGGAGGAAUACCGAUGGCGAAGGCAGCCAUCUGGCCUAAUACUGACGCUGAGGUACGAAAGCAUGGGGAGCAAACAGGAUUAGAUACCCGGGUAGUCC
rnacentral:rRNA from 1 species